AACUCUAUGUGGUGGAUCACUUGGUUCGUGUGUCGAUGAAAAGCGCAACCAACUGUGUGAAUAAAUUUGAAUCGCAGACUGCUUUGAACGUCGACCUCUUGAACGGACAUUGUGGCCGUAGGCUUGCCUACGACCACGCCUGGCCGAGGGUCG
rfam:Schistocephalus solidus strain NST_G2 genome assembly, scaffold: SSLN_contig0023072